GUGCUCACUUGGGCAGCAUGGACACUAAAAUUGGAAUACUACAGAGAUUAGUGUGGCCCCUGCACAGGGAUGACAUGCAAGUUCAUGAAGCAUUUUAAAAAUAU
ensembl:snRNA U6 U6 spliceosomal RNA